GACGAACGCUGGCGGCGUGCCUAAUACAUGCAAGUCGAGCGGACUGAUUAAGAGCUUGCUCUUAUGACGUUAGCGGCGGACGGGUGAGUAACACGUGGGCAACCUGCCCUGUAGAUCGGGAUAACACCGAGAAAUCGGUGCUAAUACCGGGUAAUAUCUGAGAUCACAUGAUCUUAGGUUAAAAGAUGGCUCCGGCUAUCACUACAGGAUGGGCCCGCGGCGCAUUAGCUAGUUGGUAAGGUAAUGGCUUACCAAGGCGACGAUGCGUAGCCGAUCUGAGAGGGUGAUCGGCCACACUGGGACUGAGACACGGCCCAGACUCCUACGGGAGGCAGCAGUAGGGAAUCUUCCGCAAUGGACGAAAGUCUGACGGAGCAACGCCGCGUGAGUGAUGAAGGGUUUCGGCUCGUAAAGCUCUGUUGUUAGGGAAGAAACAGUACCGAACGAACUAGGUCGGUACCUUGACGGUACCUAACCAGAAAGCCACGGCUAACUACGU
rnacentral:rRNA from 1 species